GCUGGGCGUAGACCCGAAACCAGGUGAUCUAUCCAUGGUCAGGAUGAAGGUUGGGUAACACCAGCUGGAGGUCCGAACCGACUAAUGUUGCAAAAUUAGCGGAUGAACUGUGGAUAGGGGUGAAAGGCUAAUCAAACCUGGAAAUAGCUGGUUCUCCCCGAAAACUAUUUAGGUAGUGCGUCAUGUAUUGCUCCAGGGGGGUAGAGCACUGUAAUGGUUGUGGGGG
rnacentral:rRNA from 1 species